rnacentral:rRNA from 1 species
ACUCCUACGGGAGGCAGCAGUGGGGAAUAUUGCACAAUGGGCGCAAGCCUGAUGCAGCCAUGCCGCGUGUAUGAAGAAGGCCUUCGGGUUGUAAAGUACUUUCAGCGGGGAGGAAGGCAAUACGGUUAAUAACCGUGUUGAUUGACGUUACCCGCAGAAGAAGCACCGGCUAACUCCGUGCCAGCAGCCGCGGUAAUACGGAGGGUGCAAGCGUUAAUCGGAAUUACUGGGCGUAAAGCGCACGCAGGCGGUCUGUCAAGUCGGAUGUGAAAUCCCCGGGCUCAACCUGGGAACUGCAUUCGAAACUGGCAGGCUUGAGUCUUGUAGAGGGGGGUAGAAUUCCAGGUGUAGCGGUGAAAUGCGUAGAGAUCUGGAGGAAUACCGGUGGCGAAGGCGGCCCCCUGGACAAAGACUGACGCUCAGGUGCGAAAGCGUGGGGAGCAAACAGGAUUAGAUACCCCUGUAGUCCCAUG